CUUGAUCAUUAACCCUCCGUCUAUCAGCAGCAGGAGAUUUUUCUCUUUGGGGCUCGACAUGUGCAGAACCCGCAUCCAAUGCUAUAUCUGGCUCCAUCCUCCUUCCAGGACGAGCAGAUCCUCUCCUUAGAGGUAUUCUUUAUAUAUCUCUAAAAGAGUCAAAAAGAAAGGGCGGUCGUUACACACUGAGUCAUAAUAUAUUUUACUGAAUUAUAAAUGACUCAUAAAUUAAUAUACA
rnacentral:lncRNA from 1 species